GAACAUGUCCUGUAGUGGGGGAUAGCCCGGCGAAAGCCGGAUUAAUACCGCAUACGAUCUGAGGAUGAAAGCGGGGGACCUUCGGGCCUCGCGCUAUAGGGUUGGCCGAUGGCUGAUUAGCUAGUUGGUGGGGUAAAGGCCUACCAAGGCGACGAUCAGUAGCUGGUCUGAGAGGACGACCAGCCACACUGGGACUGAGACACGGCCCAGACUCCUACGGGAGGCAGCAGUGGGGAAUUUUGGACAAUGGGCGAAAGCCUGAUCCAGCAAUGCCGCGUGUGUGAAGAAGGCCUUCGGGUUGUAAAGCACUUUUGUCCGGAAAGAAAUCCUUGGUUCUAAUAUAGCCGGGGGAUGACGGUACCGGAAGAAUAAGCACCGGCUAACUACGUGCCAGCAGCCGCGGUAAUACGUAGGGUGCAAGCGUUAAUCGNAAUUACUGGGCGUAAAGCGUGCGCAGGCG
rnacentral:rRNA from 1 species